ACCAUUCAUAGCAAGCUUUAAUAAUGAAUGAAGUAAGAAUCUCAAAGUUCAAAGAACAAUGAUUCACCCAGAGUUAUCCUGUAAUCAGUGGUAAAAUUCCUUAAAAUACUGGUCUCAGUUUCCCUUUUCCUUUAGUAACUUUACUCUCUUAAAAGAGUUCUUCGAUUAGAAAAAUUAUUUGGAAAAAAAAGAAAAAUUGUUAAAAAAAAAAAAGCAGGUAGAUAAUAAGAUAUGUUCAUAGUGAUUAAAAUAUUCUUUACUUUUCAAUUUUAGCUUUGAAGUUUUAAGAAAUUUUAGCAUCAACGUCUUUUACUACUACUGAUUC
rnacentral:lncRNA from 1 species